rnacentral:rRNA from 1 species
GGUAGUAAAGCUCUUUCGCAAGGGAAGAAACGAUACAGUCUAAUAAACUGUGUAAUGACGGUACCUUGAUAAGAAGCACCGGCUAACUACGUGCCAGCAGCCGCGGUAAUACGUAGGGUGCGAGCGUUAAUCGGAAUUACUGGGCGUAAAGCGUGCGCAGGCGGUUUUGAAAGUCAGAUGUGAAAUCCCCGGGCUCAACCUGGGAACUGCGUUUGAAACUCCAAAGCUAGAGUAUGGGAGAGGGGGGUAGAAUUCCACGUGUAGCAGUGAAAUGCGUAGAGAUGUGGAGGAAUACCAAUGGCGAAGGCAGCCCCCUGGCUUAAUACUGACGCUCAUGCACGAAAGCGUGGGGAGCAAACAGGAUUAGAUACCCUGGUAGUCCACGCCCUAAACGAUGUCUACUAGUUGUUGGGAGAGUAAAAUCUCUUAGUAACGCAGCUAACGCGUGAAGUAGACCGACUGGGGAGUACGGUCGCAAGAUUAAAACUCAAAGGAAUUGACGGGGGCCCGGACAAGCGGCGGAUUAUGUGGAUUCAUUCG